rnacentral:rRNA from 1 species
UACAGAGGGUGCAAGCGUCGUUCGGAAUUAUUGGGCGUAAAGCGCGUGUAGGCGGCUUUGCAAGUCGGGUGUGAAAGCCCUCAGCUCAACUGAGGAAGUGCGCCCGAAACUGCAGAGCUUGAAUACCGGAGAGGAUGGCGGAAUUCCCCAAGUAGAGGUGAAAUUCGUAGAUAUGGGGAGGAACACCGGUGGCGAAGGCGGCCAUCUGGACGGCUAUUGACGCUGAGACGCGAAAGCGUGGGGAGCAAACAGG